UGAAAGAGGAAGAACUCCGUGUAUAUUUUAAAGAUCGCUCUGCAUCUGAUCUCUUUCAAAAAUCCGUCACAAAAAUGGAAUUAUCUCAGCUUUUUGCUCAAAAUUGGGUGUUUUUGAAGAAACCUACCCAUAUUUGAGAGGUGAUAAAAGAGAAAUAACGAAGCUAUUACAGUAAGGAGUUGUCCACCAGUAGGGAGGAGAUUGUCAUCUUUGAGGUGUAAUCAUCCGGGAGGAUGCAGGAUGGUCUUCUAAGGGGGAUAUGUGUGAAUGCCUAUGGCCGCAAUGGAGUGCAGAGGUAAAUUGGGCCGCCGUUUCUCUCCUGUGGGGACCCCAGCACGCACCGCUGUGAUCCUGUCAGGCACCAAGGAGCUGAAGUCACAGUAAGCAUCGGCUCUUCAAGCUCCUGUCAGCGGGACUCUGGCCUGGCCAUUCUCAUCCCAGUGACAACCAGAGAAUAGAGUUUGUGACCCAGAAUGCUAAGCUAUAUGUGAUAUGACAAAAGACCAGGCCACUGCAUAUGGAGAGGGAAAGCAUAUUUCCAAUGGUAGUGUACCUCAGGGACAUGGCUUUGAUGUACAGUUUAUACAAAUAUCUGGAAAAAAAAAUCUUAGGCAUAGUUUCUGUAAAGAUUAUCAGAUUUAAGGAAUAGUUCACCAAAUUUUACACUUAUACACUCAUAAUUGUCAUGACUUUCUUCUGUGGAAAAAACAACAACAUUCUUUAAAAGUAAAAGAAGACACCAUUAAAGUCUGUGUAAAGUCCGAUAUUAAAUGUGUUCUCAAAUUUGAAUGAUUAAAAAACGUCACGUAAAUAAAAUAAGUUAUCAAAAUCUAGGACUAAUAGGCAGAAUUCUCUACUCUCACGCACUGGGGGCGUGUCUACUGUCAUCGCUGAAACCACACCCCUUCGCGAGAAAGCUGCCUCUCUUUUAAGGCCCUGUCCCAAAUGGCGCACUUUAUGUGGACUUUCGGUCUUGUGGCCUUAAAUUGCGCAUGCUCGCCUAGUCUACGA